rnacentral:lncRNA from 1 species
AAAAAAAAAAAAAAAAAAGGAAGUAGGAAAAUUAUGUAAAUAAAAUGUUUCUGUUUAAUGUACAUUGGAAUCACAGAUCUCUUUUGACUUAAGUUUUUGAUUAAGCACUUAAUCUGUCUGUGCCUCAAUUUCCUCAUCUGUAAAAUAUUUGGAACAGUGUAUGACAUACCAUAAGCACUAUAAAAGUGAUGGUUUAGGAAAAAAAAUCUCUAAGGGUCAAGAAAAUGUAUGACCUAUUCUUUGUACUUAAUUGUUACAGAAUAGACAUUUGAUAAUGGUCUUUAAAUUACCCUGUACUUUUAGGGGGGUUAUAUGUCAUAGGCACAGACUUCUGACUCUCUAAUGUCAUUAUGAUACACUUUUUUUAUAUAUAUAUUUUCUUUCUAAAUCAUAAAAUGAGUUUACAGCAGCAGACCCCAGCUUUUCUGAGAAGUACCUACACUGUUAUAUUGUGUAAUCGCUGUACCAACUAAUAUUUUUCGUCAGAAUAUGUACAAUACAGAGUUGAAGAAUCUGUAUCAAAAUGAUCAGCUGUGAUGAGCCUGAGCUAGAGGGCUUUUUCACAAAGCAUGUUUUGUUCUCUGGUGAACUUAUAUUAGACCAUGGCUGCCAACUUAAAAUUCCUUUCUUUUAAGGAUGCAAUGUUGCAUAAUUAGUCUGCUAUUGCAGUCAGGAUGCUUGCACACUUUAUUUUACUCCUGGUAUAGAAUGCAAUAGACUAUCAGAGUUGAAAGGAACCUCUGAGACCAUCUAAUUCAACUUGCUCGUAAUAUAGAUGAGAAAACAGCCUCUGUCAGUUUUAAUGUCGCACAGCAAGUUAGCUGUCCAUUAGAAUCUCAGAAAUAAGUUUCAUUUUAGAAAAUCUCAGUUAUUUUCUGUAUAACAAAUAGAAAUAGAUAAAAAAAAGUAGCUAAAAACAAUAACUAUUUUUUCUAAUGAUUCUUUUCAUUGACAGAGCAGGCCUCUGCUCCACGUGGUACCAAUUGGGGUUACUCCAGUCACUGAAGAGUUUGGCUGGGACACCUCAGUUGCGGCACCUCAGUACUUCUCUACCUGGACUCUUUUUUCAUAUAUUAUCUCAUUCUCCAGAGUCUCUCCAUGUGGCCUCCCUCUCUAGAAGGAUAUUCUGGGCCUGAAAUGACAUAUGUUUCAGCCCUAACACAACACAGUCUUCAUUGCAUAUACUGUGCACUGUUAUGGGUCUGUUAUUGGAUUGCAGAAAAGUUGAAACUUUCUAGAAUUUGAUGAGCCCUGGGAAUGUUCACAUUGGUUUUGGCAGCCACCGUUUCUUUCUUUCAGGUAAUGAGAUUGUACUAGAGUCAGGCAGCUCUCAACAUUUCAACAUUCAAAUGUUUGACCAUAAGACCAGAAAAGAUCCAACAUAUUUAAUAAAAAGUGAAGGCAUGGAAAUACUAUUUUGGAUAUGUUUCACUAAUAAAAAGAGCAAGACUUCAGUAUUAGCCUUCUAUUGGAAUGUAAAUUAUUCUGACUUGAACCCACACUGAACUGCCUGCAGCCUGUAACUUAGAAGGAAAAAACAAAGUGCCACCACUGAACUGCUGGCCUUCUAACAAAUAUCACCUAUUAGCAUUCACAAUGAAGGCAAGCAUGAAUCAGCAUGAAAGUAUACCCUAUAUAAGGUUUCUUUUAGCUUCUCUCAAGUCUUGACACACACCUGUGUCACUGACAGCUAGUAUGCAAAUUGCCUAAAAGCUCCAUUAGGCUAGUCUAGGCAAGGAAGCCCAUCUGUUCGUUCCGUGACACUUUCCCUCCUAGAUCCUCAUGUGGGAAUAUGUCCUUGAGACAUGCAGAUGGAUGAAUUUGCGCCAGUGUCUGGUACCACCAACCUUAGGGGAAGUUGUCACUUCUACUUGCUUUAUUGCCUCUAAUAUUUGAUGUCCUCUUCCUUCAGAUGCCAAAGAAUAAAAUUUUAAAUCUAAAACUUCAAAGGGUGGUGAAGGUUUUUAAAUUCUGAAUAGAAAGUACAUAUUACUUUUUAAGCACAAGAAAAUGGAACAUGAUGAGCCCUCUGUUUAAAAAUUAUGGUAUUCACUGGGUGUUUUUCAAAGCUGUGUGUGUGGUCUGGUGUUGACAGGAGAGAACAUACAAUUUCAAAUUAGCUAGUGCUUGUCAGCUGUUGCUGAUAGCUGUUGGAAGGUUUUGGGAAAGACAGGGGCACGGUGAUAUUUUGGCAAGCUUGCCUAUUAAGGACAUUUGCUGGAAAUGACUUCAUGAUUCCUAUCCCUUUCUUCUUAAAAAAAAAAAAAAA